rnacentral:tRNA from 1 species
UCUCUUGUAGUUUAACGGUCAGAAUACGCGCUUGUCACGCGCGUGAUCGGGGUUCGAUUCCCCGCAAGAGAGU